GACGAACGCUGGCAGCGUGCUUAACACAUGCAAGUCGAGCGGUAAGGCCCUUUCGGGGGUACACGAGCGGCGAACGGGUGAGUAACACGUGGGUGACCUGCCCUUAGCUCUGGGAUAAGCCUGGGAAACUGGGUCUAAUACCGGAUAUGACUCCAUGACGCAUGUUGUGGGGUGGAAAGCCUUGUGCGGCUAGGGAUGGGCCCGCGGCCUAUCAGCUUGUUGGUGGGGUGAUGGCCUACCAAGGCGACGACGGGUAGCCGGCCUGAGAGGGCGACCGGCCACACUGGGACUGAGACACGGCCCAGACUCCUACGGGAGGCAGCAGUGGGGAAUCUUGCGCAAUGGGCGAAAGCCUGACGCAGCGACGCCGCGUGGGGAUGACGGCCUCGGUGUAAC
rnacentral:rRNA from 1 species